UGCCGAAACGGGCCUCGCUGGGCCUGUCCUCGCCUUUGGCAUGGGCGGGCUGAUGAUGGCUGCCAACU
rnacentral:hammerhead_ribozyme from 1 species